AAUUACAUGCCAUUGAUUUCUUUCCAAAUUUGCUUCUAAUACACUUUUUGACUACUCCUUGAUUUUAUUUUUUUUUUUAAUUUUUUUUCCCACUUUUCCUUUCUCCUCUCCUUCCCCUGUCCUCUCAGGCGGCAGCAGCCUCCUCCCAGGGAUGCGAGCAGCUGCAGUCCCCGUACUGGACACGCCGAGCCCCGGAGCAGUUGGGAAAUGCAUAGACCGGCGUGGUUUUUUGUUUGUUUUUUUUUCUCUUAAUAGGGAGUAGGGAUGAUCUGUGCACUGAGCCUCUUCCUAAGGGACAGCGCGCCGACGGCACUGCAAGGGGAGACGGGUAUCGCUUUCAGUCUUGCACAUCUAAUUGACGCGGCUGACGUUAAUUUGAAGCCAAGGUGACGGCAGCUUCGACGCUUCUGAUUCUGCGUUGAUUUGGCGAACUUUGGCGAAAUGCUUCAACAAAACGGGAGAAAGCGCUGCUCUGAGAAGGCCAGAGGGCUUCACCAUCGGCAGGAACCUGCACCGGCAGCCCAAAUCCCGCAGCGAUGCUGAUGAGAGCAGAUGUCCGUAGGGAUGCUGUGGAGCGCACGUGCGUGUGGAGGGAUGCAGCGUGCGGAGACCCAUCACGAGUGCUGGGAGGGCGAAGGGGACGAUCAGGUGUUUCACAGGCAGCCCUGGUGUGGCGAGCACCGGGGCUGCUUUGCUACCAGGGGCAAAAUGGAAAUAGUAAUGCUCAGAGCUGUUAUUCGUUUGAGGAUAGGGUGUGAAUGCAGAGCUCUUCAGCUGGGGAAAGGCAACCUGAAGUGGAAGAGGUGAGACCCAUCGUUUGCCACAGAUCUGCGGGACCUCGUAGCAAAAAAAUAUGGGGAAGGAGAUGAUGACAGGGAGGGAAGUUGAGAAGAAGUGGCUGUGGGAUUGUCUCUCUUGAGGCAGGUGACCCAGCUCUGUAAUGCCUCCCCCAGCUGCAAAGCUCCCCAGAAAAUUAGCUUCUUUUCAUCAUAUUUUUACUUAUAACUUUCCCCCACGUCCCCCUGGGUUGUCUUUAAUGGGCUGCAUAGGGGUUUUUUUGCUUGCUUUCUGUUUGUUGAAGAAAGAAACUUUUUCACAGGAAACAUGGGGGAAAAAAAUCCUACCUUUUUCUGGUGGAAAAAUAAGUGCCAGUUUUGUUCAACUCUAUUUCUGUGUAAAUGGGGUCGUUAAAAAGAGAGGCUGUGCCUGGGGUGUGCAGAAUCUUACCUGUUUCAUAGACAAAAAACAUCAUGACUGACAGCACGAAUUCAAUGAUUCUACUGCAUUCCAAGUCAGAGGGGAAAAUGCAGAAAUAAGAGAAAGAGCAAUGCACGCUGUCCAGGUGGAAACUGUUUUCCCAGCAUUGUAAUUUUUCCUGAGAACUGAAAUCAGCAGACAUCUGGGCUGGAAGGAUGUUGGUUUGCAGGCAGCAAGCUGGGCUAAAAUACCCACAGGUAUAAGUAAUAAAACCUGUGUUAUGUUUAGAAGAACAGUGUUAAAAGUUACCAGCAACAAACCAAGGAACAGGAUCCCUCUUCUCCGUGGUGUUGUCCAGACCUCCUCGGUGGGGUACCUGCACCCUGGCAGGUUUGGGUUUUGUUUCCUUGGCUCAGGCGCAGGCAGGCAGAGGCUGUCGGCUUGAGUGGGUUUGCAGAGGAGACUGAUGUCGGGCUCUGGGAGAGGCCAUGGGAUGGUUCUGCUUUGAGUUCGUUUCCUCCUGCUGAAAUACUUGAUUUCUCCCCUUUCUUCCAAGAUCAGUAGAUGUAGCAGCUGGAGGGAUCUUCUGUAGGUGUUUCUACCUGGUCUUAAAUAAAAUUAAAGAAGAGGCAACAGCAAAUACAAUUCAAUUAGAUGCAAGACAGACACUUUUUUAGUGAUGCUGACCAAGCACUGGAAGAGGCACCUGGAGAUGUGAGGGAAUCUCCAUCCUUGGAGAGUUUUAAAAUUCAUCUGAAGAAGGCCUUGAGCGGCCAGACCAUCCUUGAAGUCAGUGACUUUCUACAGGAGCACAGUGAAGCUUUUCCUUACUUUCCUUGUCUGCCACCACCUCGCCUUCCGUGGAGGAGAUCGGGGUUUGGAAGGUGAUUUAGAGCUGCAGAGAGCGCUGCGAAGGCAUAACUGUGCUAAAGCCACUCGUGGGAAGCCACCUCCGCUGCAAUGCAGAUUUUGGGCUCUUGUGUGGGCAGGAUCUGCCACUCAGCACCUCCACGCGCUCGCCAUCCACCUCGCACGUCAGCGGCACAGUCCUUCCCUUGCUGGCGAGGACGAAUGAAGUCCGUGGCCAAAGCUGCGCACUUAGAGCUGAGCACUUGCUCAGGUGUGUUUUCCUCUUCGGGAACAAGAUGCCUUCUAGAUGCCUUUAUUCAGUGCCCAGGCUUGUUGGUGCUGGUUUCUUGACCAAGGCCAGACUAAACCAGAGAAGAGGAGCCGAUGACCUGCGGCUGCCUGCAGCACAAACCCGGCGGCAAACGUGCCUGAGCUAUCGAAGAAUUCUCCAUGGCAAGUCUACGGGCAGGAACUUUUCCAACCGCUGAGCCUUCCUCUCCCUGGGUGCUGCUAUUUCCAUGCUAAGCUGUACAGUUAUAGAUUUUAAGAUAAGUGAAGCUGUGGAACGGGGGGACGAUGAAGCGGGCUCUGUAUGCUCACCUGGGGGAAAGCCGGCAGCGGGCAAGGAGAAUGGACUUUUGCUCAGAUGAAGUCAACUAGACAUUACCCUGGAAAUCAGCAUCUCCCUCAGUCGCCUUUGUUACAAACGCAGCAAAACGGAAAGGCUGCCUCAUUCCAGUGCCAUUGAAGCAUUUUUUUUUUUUUUGCUGUAAGGUAACUGUACUGACUUCAGUGGAAUUACUUCUGAUUUAUACCUUGGGAAGUGAGAGAGGAGCCAGACACCCCGGGUAAUUCUGCUCUAUCAUUGCCUGUACCCAUUAA